AUCACUAUUACUCCCUGUGUAUCACAAUACUUGUAGUUGGGGGCACUUGUAUUAGUGUUCCCCACCAAGUAUUUAGGUACAGAGGGAGUAGNAACUUC
rnacentral:pre_miRNA from 1 species